AAAACCCAGCUUAGGCUGGGGGUUCCGUAAAGCUUACAGCUAUAAGUCAGUUAUAUAACCCCUUUCAAUUUGAUAAAAACGUCUUGUGGUCUGGCAACUGCAAGAGUUAAUUAAGAAUUGAAAG
rnacentral:sRNA from 1 species